ACUUAUUCAAAAAUGAACAUAUCAAUAUAAUUUUUGACUUUAUAAUGCUAUAACUUUUUGAAAGAUGUAUGGAUCAAUAUAAUUCUUUUUUUAUAUAGAUGCUUGAUGUUUUUACCUAUCAUUUGGUAUAUUUUUUUUGUAAAUUUGACCUUUUUUCUGCCCACAGGGGGGGAUUUAAAAUGACAACUUUUUCACAAAAAAUUAACUUUUUCAACUUAACUUUUGAAAAUGUUCCGGAAGGUCUGACACUUUUAUAUAUAUCUUAAAUUAAAGCUAAUGUAAUAUACUUUAAUUUGAAAAAAAAAAAUUUGACCUCUGGACUUUUCUUCGCGGCGAAAAUGGCUACCGAAUGCUAUUUUCGUGUGAUAAUUCUCGAUUUUAUUAUUCAUAUUAUAUUUAACUUUAUAAUGCUAUAACUUAUUGAAAAGUUUAUGGAUCCACACAAUUUUUUUAUGAGAAAUAAUUUUUUUUAAUAAACCCUUUUUCAUUCGACAUACUUUAUCUUAAUCGAGAUAUUAAGGAACCAGCAGAUCAAGUAGCUUUUGGAAUAAAACACCAAUUUUUUUAAAAUUAAACACUAUCUAAAGAUUUGCAUCGAAGCGUUUAUUUUUGAUAGUGAUUUUAAUCACUGUCAGAUAUCAUUAUACUUGAUCCAACUAUACCACGUCACAACUGUGCCGCGACCCCCCUGUGCUGGGUUUUUUU